UACGGAGGGGGCUAGCGUUGUUCGGAAUUACUGGGCGUAAAGCGCACGUAGGCGGCUUUGUAAGUUAGAGGUGAAAGCCCGGGGCUCAACUCCGGAAUUGCCUUUAAGACUGCAUCGCUAGAAUUGUGGAGAGGUAAGUGGAAUUCCGAGUGUAGCGGUGAAAUGCGUAGAUAUCGGGAGGAACACCAGUGGCGAAGGCGAGUCUCUGGGAUGAUGCUGACGCUGAGGCGCGAAAGCCAGGGGAGCAAACGGG
rnacentral:rRNA from 1 species